CUGCGGAGGGGUAACC
rnacentral:rRNA from 1 species